AAGAAUCUUUCAUUAGUUCCUGAAACGGCGAGUGCAGACGUGUGAUGGGACGCCAAACAUCUCCAGGCCACACCCUGUGAAUAAAUAGAGGGAGCAGGACAAAGAGAAACGCACAGCGGGCAUUAGGCAUCGGGAGCUGAAGGAGCUGACAGUUGAUGAGCCUCCGAUAAGCAGGAGACAGGAGAAGUAAACGUCAGAGAUACGAUCCUGAUCUUGGAGACGUCUUCUUUCCUUUUCCCGUUAAGUUUAUCCGCUGAGAUCAGCUGACAAAUGAAAACUGCGCUCACUCCGUCUUA